rnacentral:rRNA from 1 species
AUUAACAGGAUUAGAUACCCUGGUAGUCCACGCUGUAAACGAUGUCGAUUUGGAGGUUGUGCCCUUGAGGCGUGGCUUCCGGAGCUAACGCGUUAAAUCGACCGCCUGGGGAGUACGGCCGCAAGGUUAAAACUCAAAUGAAUUGACGGGGGCCCGCACAAGCGGUGGAGCAUGUGGUUUAAUUCGAUGCAACGCGAAGAACCUUACCUACUCUUGACAUCCAGAGAACUUUCCAGAGAUGGAUUGGUGCCUUCGGGAACUCUGAGACAGGUGCUGCAUGGCUGUCGUCAGCUCGUGUUGUGAAAUGUUGGGUUAAGUCCCGCAACGAGCGCAACCCUUAUCCUUUGUUGCCAGCGGUUCGGCCGGGAACUCAAAGGAGACUGCCAGUGAUAAACUGGAGGAAGGUGGGGAUGACGUCAAGUCAUCAUGGCCCUUACGAGUAGGGCUACACACGUGCUACAAUGGCGUAUACAAAGAGAAGCGACCUCGCGAGAGCAAGCGGACCUCAUAAAGUACGUCGUAGUCCGGAUUGGAGUCUGCAACUCGACUCCAUGAAGUCGGAAUCGCUAGUAAUCGUAGAUCAGAAUGCUACGGUGAAUACGUUCCCGGGCCUUGUACACACCGCCCGUCACACCAUGGGAGUGGGUUGCAAAGGAAGUAGGUAGCUUAACCUUCGGGAGGGCGCUUACCACUUUGUGAUUCAUGACUGGGGUGAAGUCGUAACAAGGUAGCCAAU